rnacentral:rRNA from 1 species
CCUACGGGAGGCAGCAGUGGGGAAUAUUGCACAAUGGGGGAAACCCUGAUGCAGCGACGCCGCGUGAGUGAAAAAGGAAUUCGUGAUGUAAAGCUCUAUCAGCAGGGAAGAAAAUGACGGUACCUGAGUAAGAAGACCCGGCUAACGACGUGCCAGCAGCCGCGGUAAGACGGAGGGGGCAAGCGUUAUCCGGAUUUACGGGGGGUAAAGGGAGCGUAGACGGGAGUGCAAGUCAGGAGGGAAAGGCGGGGGCUCAACCCCCGGACUGCUCUUGAAACUGUCCGGCUGGAGUGCAGGAGAGGUCAGUGGAAUUCCUAGUGUAGCGGUGCACUGCGUAGCUAUUAGGAGGAACACCAGUGGCGCAGGCGGCUUACUGGACUGUAACUGCCGUUGCUGCUCG